rnacentral:rRNA from 1 species
UACGGGGGGGGCAAGCGUUGUUCGGAAUUACUGGGCGUAAAGGGCUCGUAGGCGGCCAACUAAGUCGGACGUGAAAUCCCCAGGCUCAACCUGGGAACUGCAUCCGAUACUGGAUGGCUUGAAUUCGGGAGAGGGAUGUGGAAUUCCAGGUGUAGCGGUGAAAUGCGUAGAUAUCUGGAGGAACACCGGUGGCGAAGGCGGCAUCCUGGACCGGUAUUGACGCUGAGGAGCGAAAGCCAGGGGAGCAAACGGG